UACGGAGGGAGCUAGCGUUGUUCGGAAUUACUGGGCGUAAAGCGCACGUAGGCGGCUUUGUAAGUUAGAGGUGAAAGCCCGGGGCUUAACCUGGGAACUGCGUUUGAUACGGUGUGGCUAGAGUUCGGGAGAGGAAAGUGGAAUUCCACGUGUAGCGGUGAAAUGCGUAGAGAUGUGGAGGAACACCAGUGGCGAAGGCGACUUUCUGGGCUGUAACUGACGCUGAGGCGCGAAAGCGUGGGGAGCAAACAGG
rnacentral:rRNA from 1 species